rnacentral:rRNA from 1 species
UUGGAGGGCAAGUCUGGUGCCAGCAGCCGCGGUAAUUCCAGCUCCAAUAGCGUAUAUUAAAGUUGUUGCAGUUAAAAAGCUCGUAGUUGAAUUUCGGGGUUAGUAGGUUGGUCAUGCCUCUGGUAUGUACUGGUCUCACUGAUUCCUCCUUCCUGAUGAACCGUAAUGCCAUUAAUUUGGUGUUGCGGGGAAUUUGGACUGUUACUUUGAAAAAAUUAGAGUGUUUAAAGUAAGCUAACGCUUGAAUACAUUAGCAUGGAAUAAUGAAAUAGGACGUUCGAUCCUAUUUUGUUGGUUUCUAGGAUUGACGUAAUGAUUAAUAGGGAUAGUUGGGGGCAUUAGUAUUCAAUUGUCAGAGGUGAAAUUCUUGGAUUUAUUGAAGACUAACUACUGCGAAAGCAUUUGCCAAGGAUGUUUUCAUUAAUCAAGAACGAAAGUUAGGGGAUCGAAGACGAUCAGAUACCGUCGUAGUCUUAACCAUAAACUAUGCCGACUAGGGAUCGGAUGAUGUUAAUUUUUUAAUGACUCAUUCGGCGCCUUACGGGAAAC